CCUACGGGUGGCAGCAGUGAGGAAUAUUGGUCAAUGGCCGGGAGCCUGAACCAGCCAAGUCGCGUGAGGGAAUAAGGCCCUAUGGGUCGUAAACCUCUUUUGGCGGGGAGCAAUGCCGUCCACGUGUGCCCGGAAGGAGAGUACCCGCAGAAUAAGCAUCGGCUAACUCCGUGCCAGCAGCCGCGGUAAUACGGAGGAUGCGAGCGUUAUCCGGAUUUAUUGGGUUUAAAGGGUGCGUAGGCGGAGUUUUAAGUCAGCGGUAAAAGGUCGGGGCGCAACCCGGGCCGGCCGUUGAAACUGGGGAUCUUGAGUGGGCGAGAAGUAUGCGGAAGGCGUGGUGUAGCGGUGAAAUGCAUAGAUAUCACGCAGAACGCCGAUUGCGAAGGCAGCAUACCGGCGCCCGACUGACGCUGAGGCACGAAAGCGUGGGGAUCGAACAGGAUUAGAUACCCGGGUAGUC
rnacentral:rRNA from 1 species